UACGUAGGUGGCAAGCGUUGUCCGGAUUUACUGGGCGUAAAGAGCGCGCAGGCGGUCGUACAAGUCGCGUGUGAAAGCCCCCGGCUCAACUGGGGAGGGUCACGCGAUACUGUUCGACUCGAAGGCAGGAGAGGGAAGUGGAAUUCCCGGUGUAGUGGUGAAAUGCGUAGAUAUCGUUUGGAACGCCGAUGGUGAAAACAGGUUGCUGGGGCUGCGCUGACGCUGAGACACGAAAGCCAGGGGAGCAAACGGG
rnacentral:rRNA from 1 species